AGGAUAAACGCUGGCGGCGUGCCUUACGCAUGCAAGUCGAACGGCGCCCUUCGGGGUGCAGUGGCGGACGGGUGAGUAACACGUACGUAACCUGACGCGGGUGGGGGAUACCCGUCCGAAAGGGCGGCUAAUACCGCAUGAAGUUCCGGGGGGGUACUUCGGGACGAAAGGGUCUUCGGACUCGCCGGGCGAGGGGCGUGCGGCCGAUUAGCUAGCUGGUGGGGUAACGGCCUACCAGGGCGACGAUCGGUAGCUGGGCUGAGAGGCCGGACAGCCACACUGGGACUGAGAUACGGCCCCAGACUCCUACGGGAGGCAGCAGCGAGGAAUUUUGCGCAAUGGGCGAAAGCCUGACGCAGCAACGCCGCGUGGGUGAUGAAGGCCUUCGGGUCGUAAAGCCCUUUUGUCGGGGACGACAACGACGGUACCCGACGAAGAAGCCACGGCUAACUACGCGCCAGCAGCCGC
rnacentral:rRNA from 1 species